GGAAUCUUUCACAAUGGGCGAAAGCCUGAUGGAGCAACGCCGCGUGCAGGAUGAAGGCCUUCGGGUUGUAAACUGCUUUUAUAUCCGAGAAAUAUGAUGGUAAGAUAUGAAUAAGGACCGGCUAACUACGUGCCAGCAGCCGCGGUCAUACGUAGGGUCCAAGCAUUAUCCGGAGUGACUGGGUGUAAAGAGUUGCGUAGGUGGCAUGGUAAGUAGAUAGUGAAAUCUGGUGGCUCAACCAUUCAGACUAUUAUCUAAACUGCCAAGCUCGAGACCGUUAGGGGUACCUGGAAUUUCUAGUGUAGGAGUGAAAUCCGUAGAUAUUAGAAGGAACACCGAUAGCGUAGGCAGGGUACUGGGGCGGUUCUGACACUAAGGCACGAAAGCGUAGGGAGCAAACG
rnacentral:rRNA from 1 species